rnacentral:rRNA from 1 species
AGCGAACGCUGGCGGCAGGCCUAACACAUGCAAGUCGAACGGGCGUAGCAAUACGUCAGUGGCAGACGGGUGAGUAACACGUGGGAACCUUCCUAGGGGUACGGAACAACUCAGGGAAACUUGAGCUAAUACCGUAUACGUCCGAGAGGAGAAAGAUUUAUCGCCCUUAGACGGGCCCGCGUCGGAUUAGGUAGUUGGUGGGGUAACGGCCUACCAAGCCGACGAUCCGUAGCUGAUCUGAGAGGAUGAUCAGCCACACUGGGACUGAGACACGGCCCAGACUCCUACGGGAGGCAGCAGUGGGGAAUCUUGGACAAUGGGCGCAAGCCUGAUCCAGCCAUGCCGCGUGAGUGAAGAAGGCCUUAGGGUUGUAAAGCUCUUUUGGCAGGGACGAUAAUGACGGUACCUGCAGAAUAAGCCCCGGCAAACUUCGUGCCAGCAGCCGCCGCGGUAA